CCUUCCUCCAGACCUAAGUCUGAACCUCUUAAAAACUCUUAUUGAACUUAGACACCUUCUUCUGGACAUCUUAAACUCUUAGAGCUAUUAGGAUUGGGCUUGUCUUAAAAGAACAAGCCUUUGUCCUAAAUCCUAGAGUUGUAAGAGAGGGUAAGAGGAAUUAGAUAGGAAGCGUAAGAGUUGAAUGAUCAAUCCUAUCUGCCACC
rnacentral:lncRNA from 1 species